UCACGUUCUCACAUUAAAUUGUGUUCUCAUUUGAACUUAACCCUAUAUAUAUAUAUAUAUAUAUACAAUUUUACACAAUGAUGCCUUUGAAACUUUUAGGUAGGAGAAAUUGUAAUUACAGCUUCAGACAUUUUUUGGAAAAGAAUUUCACAUUUGAAUGUUGUGUUAUGUUGGUCGGUCUCUUCAAGUCAUUUUAAUUUCCUUUCUAAGAUUAAGUCCUUUGCUUCAUCAUAAUAUAAAUCAUUCAGCCAAAUAAUUAUAGUAACCUUAAAAGACAACCAUACAUGCUUCAAAUAUCUUUGUCAAAUGAUCAUCCACAUAUUAUUUACCAUCCAUAACCUGCAAUACAAUGAAUGAUUGUGUUAGCACCAUAUUAUGAGCAAGACCAGUUAAGAUAAAAUCAACAUUACAACGAUUUCCAGCCAAUUGAUGUGCAAAAAAUUGAUAAUCACAAACCUCAUAAUCUGACUUUGGUAAUCAUGGUCCACAAACCCUUAAAAAAUCUCAUCCUGAACAUUAAAUUGAAAAUAUAUGUCACGUUUUAGUAAGUUUUAGUAUGCCAACAAACACAUUUAGGGCAUGUUCGGCAAAACUAACUAGUAGCGGGUAGCUUGUAGCUUGUAGCGUUUUGUUAAACGCUACAUGAAGUAGCAUUUGGAUUUGAAGCGUUUUGAUUAAACUAAACGCUAGAAGCGUGUAGUGCCAAACGAGGCUUUUUGUUUUAAACGGAGUGUUUUGUCAAACGCUAGAAGCUAGAAGCUCUCAAACGCUCCGUGCCGAACACCCCCUUAAGUAAGCUAAAACUGAGAUUAUCUUUGUUUCCUCUAACUUUUGAAUCAAAAUCACAUAAUAAUACAUACCUCCAUAACUCCAUUACCUCCAAUAAACACUAGAUUGUAACUUUUAGAGAAAAGGCUUCCUGCAACCAUAGUGGCAGAAACCAACAAUAUAACAAGAGAAUAAGAAUUAAACUACUAGAUAAUCUAGAAUGAUUGCUAGAACUGCUUAAACUACUAGAUGAUCUUACUACUUUUAUUUUCUUUCGUGGCCUCCAAAAUGGAUGUCAUGGCCUCAUAGGGUUCUGCAUUAACAUUUUAACACCAUAUUCUGACAUGUACAAUGUCCUCAUAGAGCAUGUGCAAAGUGAAAGAACUUUCCUUGAAGCGGGUCUACAAAAAUCAAUAACCCUAAAUUAACUAACACAUCACAAAAUCAGUAACCGGAUAACAAAACUAGUGAGACAUACCUAGAGAAAAUGAGAGUUGAUGAACAAAGAGAGAAAGCUGGAAUCAGGGAAAUUGAAACUAUUGAUGAAAUCAAGAGUUGGAAUCAACACCAAGCUCAAAACAGGGAGUUGGAAUCAACACA
rnacentral:lncRNA from 1 species